ACGUUGGCAUACUCUGCACUACAAAUCAGAGUCAUUUAGCUUUUCCAGGAGUUUAUGCCUUGACAGCAAGCUCAAUCCCCUCAAUUCAGGGAUGAUAUGUGCUUGGCAAAAAAAAAAAACAUGAGAGUAAUCUAUUUACAUAUAAACUAUCUACAUAUUGACAUGAUAUGAUGCAAGGCACCUUUAGUUACUAUAAUUCACCAUAGCUGGCGAUACUUUCUCAUCUCAAAUGCGACUUCUUCAUCGUCAAGGCUAAAACCUUUCACAUAAAUCUUUUUGCCGCUACAAUUUGGUAAAUGUACCUACGUUUUCUUGAGAAGUAAGAAUCAUACCUACAUUCUCUCUAUUCAUCUCUUUCACUAUUUUGGGAACCUGGCUGAGAACGGUUUUCCUUUUCUCAACCUCGCAGGAAUACAAGAUCAGGGUCCUGCCUUUUUGCCGUGAUAAUUUGAAGAGCACCUUAAAAUUUUGCAUCAAGUACAUCGAUUAUAUCACCUUCUAUGGAUGAUGGUAAAUUCAACACAUGCAUUAUGGUCUUGCCACCUUAAUCAGGACAUUUACUAUGAAAACAGUCAUGGUGAUCAAAUAUGCAUUGUACGACAACCUCAAUCUUGCUCUAUACAACAACCUCAAAGGUGAUUGCGGAACAAAGUGAAAAAGUAAUGGAGUUUAUAGACCAGUAGUUCUGAUUAUGAUAUAGGUACUGUAUAGGGUGUCCAAAGUUGCUACAAUCUUCUCCAAAAGCUGGAUGGUAAAAGAUAACACGGAGGACAAAAACAACACACCAAAAUUCCCUGCUUUGUGGGGAAUGCUGUCGAGGCAACAUGUCUUAGCCAAGAUAAUUGGCAGAGAAGAGGACUUUCUAUUUGCAGCAGAUGUUACCCAUGUGAAAACUGACAAAAAGAGUCUAUCAACCAUUUAAACUUUUUUUGGUGGUGACUUCAUGAUGCCACAGAAUAUCAAAUGAUUUCUUUCAGAUUGGCAAGCACAAAGAAUUAAUAAAGCAUUCUUCUAUUGUAAAAUAAAAAUGUAUAUUUCCAAUCCUUCAUUAAAUUACCACAUGUAUGAACUGACACAUGACAUUACAUGUGCAUUUACAAUGUCAGAUUGGUUGAAAACAUUUAUCGUAGUCCACAAAUGUUGUCUAUCUACUAUAAUAAAAGAGGUGAUCUGCCUAUUGUAAGGUU